GUGCCAGCCGCCGCGGUAAUACGAAGGGGGCUAGCGUUGCUCGGAAUUACUGGGUGUAAAGGGUUCGUAGGCGGUGUGGCAAGUCGGGAGUGAAAUCCCUGGGCUCAACCCAGGGGCUGCUUCCGAAACUGCUGUGCUAGAGUGUGGGAGAGGUGCGUGGAAUUCCUGGUGUAGCGGUGAAAUGCGUAGAUAUCAGGAGGAACACCGGUGGCGAAGGCGGGUCUCUGGGCCAUUACUGACGCUGAGGAGCGAAAGCGUGGGGAGCGAACAGGAUUAGAUACCCUGGUAGUCCACGCCGUAAACGUUGGGCGCUAGGUGUGGGGCCUGUUUCCACGGGUUCCGUGCCGGAGCUAACGCAUUAAGCGCCCCGCCUGGGGAGUACGGCCGCAAGGCUAAAACUCAAAGGAAUUGACGG
rnacentral:rRNA from 1 species